rnacentral:rRNA from 1 species
GACGAACGCUGGCGGCGUGCUUAACACAUGCAAGUCGAACGAAGAGCGACGGAAGCUUGCUUCUAUCAAUCUUAGUGGCGAACGGGUGAGUAACGCGUAAUCAACCUGCCCUUCAGAGGGGGACAACAGUUGGAAACGACUGCUAAUACCGCAUACGAUCUAACCUCGGCAUCGAGGAUAGAUGAAAGGUGGCCUCUACAUGUAAGCUAUCACUGAAGGAGGGGAUUGCGUCUGAUUAGCUAGUUGGAGGGGUAACGGCCCACCAAGGCGAUGAUCAGUAGCCGGUCUGAGAGGAUGAACGGCCACAUUGGGACUGAGACACGGCCCAGACUCCUACGGGAGGCAGCAGUGGGGAAUCUUCCGCAAUGGACGAAAGUCUGACGGAGCAACGCCGCGUGAGUGAUGACGGCCGUCGGGUUGUAAAGCUCUGUUAAUCGGGACGAAAGGCCUUCUUGCGAAUAGUGAGAAGGAUUGACGGUACCGGAAUAGAAAGCCACGGCUAACUACGUG